rnacentral:rRNA from 1 species
UACGUAGGGUGCAAGCGUUGUCCGGAAUUAUUGGGCGUAAAGAGCUCGUAGGCGGUUUGUUGCGUCGGCUGUGAAAUCCCGGAGGCCUCAACCUCGGGUCUGCAGUCGGAUACGAGCAAACUAGAGUGUUGCAGGGGAGACUGGAAUUCCUGGUGAUAGCGGUGAAAUGCGGUAGAUAUCGAGAGGAACACCUGGCGGCGAAGGCGGGUUGCUGGGCUGAUAACUGACGCUGGAGGCGCGGAAAGCCAGGGGAGCGAACGGG